UACGGGGGGAGCAAGCGUUGUUCGGAUUUACUGGGCGUAAAGGGCGCGUAGGUGGUCGUGACAAGUCACUUGUGAAAUCUCCGGGCUUAACUCGGAACGGUCAAGUGAUACUGUCGGACUAGAGUACAGAAGGGGCAACUGGAAUUCUCGGUGUAGCGGUGAAAUGCGUAGAUAUCGAGAGGAACACCUGCGGCGAAGGCGGGUUGCUGGGCUGAUACUGACGCUGAGGCGCGAAAGCCAGGGGAGCGAACGGG
rnacentral:rRNA from 1 species